rnacentral:tRNA from 1 species
GCCCGGGUAGCUCAGCAGGGAGAGCACCGCUUUCACACGGCGGGGGUCGGCGGUUCGAGCCCGUCCCCGGGCA